rnacentral:rRNA from 1 species
AUUUGUCGUUAGGCAAUGUGGUGUUUAGGUCGGCUCGUGGGACUGCCACUCCAUUCGAAGUCCAGCAUUGAGUAUGGUACCCUGGAUUUGGCCCAGAGAGGGUGAAAGGCCCGUGCGAAUGGAUGUUUCAGACAUGAAAGGCAGUUCAUCAGGUCGACCUUCGAGUCGGGUUGUUUGAUAAUGCAGCCCUAACCGGAGGAAAAUCUGCAUCCAAGGCUAAAUACUAUCUCAAGGCCGAUAGAGAACAAGUACCGAGAGGGAAAGUUGAAAAGUACUCUGAACAAGAGAGUAACAGUACGUGAAACCGUAUAGAGGUAAACGGGUGGCGUCAAGCUGCAAGCCCAGAGGAUUCAGUUGGUCGUUGUGUGUGUAUGCCUGUGUAUCUCAGUCGGUGGUAGAAGGGCAGUCCACUGGUGACGGUGGGUCCAGUCGCAAGGCUGUGAUGUGCGUUCCGCUCUGGUUGGCGGUGUGCGCUGCUCGACUAUUGGACUGGGCGACCAAUGCACUUCCUCUGAUAUGGUGAACACCACGACCGGUGGAACUGCCAGUCUGGUAUGGCCAAGUCGCGUCUAGUUUGGCACUCGUGUCGGCUGGGUGUGAUCACAGGCAAUUUGGUGGACGGUGGGUUCGCCCAUGUUAUCGGUCACUGGUUGUCAACGGGUGUGUUCGUCGGCGGUUGUAAUACACGGCGGAUGACCUGGUGGGCUAUGCUGGUAAGAAUAACUGUGCAGGGCACCGGAGUGAGCGGCCUCAAAUCUGAUCGGCAUGCACUUUACAAGUGUCAAAUGGGGGCGUCAUUGCGGCCUGUCGUGUGUCGGGUCUGAUCGUCGUGUUGCCUGCGCAAAGUGGGCCCGGCGGUGGCCUGGCUACGGUCGGUGUCGUUGGUGGCGUUUCUGUGUGUCGGUUGGUGUGGGUCUUACAGUCUGUGGUGUGGUGGUAGACGAGCUACCCGACCCGUCUUGAAACACUUAGCUAGGACUUUAACAUUGCACGCGAAUCAUUAAGCCGAGGAAAAGACAAAGGCCAAGAUUAACUUAAUCUCGGAGAUUUUAUACGGAAAAGGUCAGCUCCUAAUCUUUCUGCCAUCUUCUUUUUAUGCAAUUCAGCUCUAGGUAAGAUCGGUGGGCGCAUCUCCGUUCCGUACCACAACGUGGUCUUUGGUUGCCUGUAUUUGUGCCAUAGAGGGUGAAAGCGCCUCCAGAAUGUCAUUGUGACGCAGCAUAAGCAUUUAAUCAGAUAGCCGAAAGAUUGUGAAUUAGGCUUGCGUAGGUUGAAGCCAGAGGAAA